AACCCCUGCCCUCUCUGGGAUGUGAUUAACUCUACCUCUUCUUCCUCCUUUUUGUUGUUUUUGUCAACAUCCUCCAUCUUCUUCCUUCUCUUCCUUGUUCCUCUUCCUCUUCUUUCUCAUCCUCUGUUUUUGUUCUCUUUUUCUUCUAUCUUCUUCCUGUUCCAUCUUCUUUCUCCUUCUCUUCUUCCUCCAUUUUCUUUCUCCUUGAUCUUCCUCUUCCUCCUCCUCCAUCUUCUUCCUUUUAGUCCAUUUUCCCCUUCCUCCAUUUUUGUUCUCUUUCUCUUUUGCCUUCCUUCUUCUUACCUUCCUUUUCCUCCUCCAUUUUUCCUCCUCCAUCUUCUUCCUAUCUUCUUGUCCCUCCUUGCCUUCCUUCUCUUCUUCAUUCUCCUCAUCUUCCAUCUUCUUGCUCCCCUUUGUCUUUCCCUUCUUCCUUUCCUCCUUUCUCUUCCUCUCCUUUAUCCUCUAUUUAGUCUUCUUUCUUUUCCUCUCUUUUUUCUUUCUUCACCUGUACUCAUCCAUCUUUUUUCCUUUUCAUCUUCCUCCUCUUCCCUUCCCCUUUCCUUUUUCCUUCCUUUUCUCUUUUUGAUUUUUUGCCUAUUUAUCUUUUUCUUUCUUAACCUGUUUUCUUCUGUUUUAUCUUUCCUAUCAAAUUUUUCUUGUCCUCUUUUCUUUCUUGACUUUUCCCUCCUCUCUUUAUUUUUCUUAUUCAUUUUUUCCUCUUCCUCUUUUCCCCCUUUCCUUUUUCUUCUUACUUCUCCUCUUCUUCCUAUCAUCCUCAAAAUUCAUUUUCUUGUCCCUAUCAACUUUUCUCCUCUUUCUCCACUUUUUCUUUAUUUUCUUUUUCUUCCCCCCUUCAAAUUGCUUUUUCUUAUUCAUUUUAUUCUUUUCCUUUUUUUUCUGCUCUUCUUCUUUUCCAUUUCUCUCUUCUUUCUGGCAUCCUCUAAAUUUGUUUUCUUUUCCUUAUCAAUAUUUUUUCUUUUUUCUUUUUUUCUUGACUUUCUAUCUCCUUCCUUAACUACCUUUUCCUCUUUAUUUUCUCUUUCUCUUUCUUUUCUUUUUCUUUUCUUUUUCUUUUUUUAUUCUACCUUAGAGAACUCCUUUUAA
rnacentral:lncRNA from 1 species